AUGGAGGAGUACCUGGCAAACAUGAGGACCCUACGCAGCUACAUGAACGAUCUGGAAGAGGAGGCAGCGAAGCGGUCAGCGGAGGAGCAGAGGCAGCGCACGGCCAUAGAUGCUCACGACAGCGACAUCGCCUUAGUGAGGGCGCAGGCGAAACAGGUGAGCAACGAGGCCGAGCACCUUGCCAAGGCGAGGGCGCAUGUCUGUGUGGAGAUGGCUGAGAAGCAGGGUAGGAUCGCCUCACUGGAGGUCGUGGGUGCCACGCUGAAGCAGACGUUAGACCUCCUCCAGCUGGAAAUCACAAGUACAUCUGCAAAACUCGGCCAGAAAAGAUUAUUUUACACGAAGACAAUGGAAACUUUGAGUGUCAAACUACAAGAGCAUCAGGGAUGGCUUGAUUCAGAUAAGAAUAAGAUGGUUGCAAUAGAACCAUUUGUUGAAGCACCUAUGAACAAGCAGAACAUUUUUGAAGGGAAGAGGUAUGAAGUGCUCAACUUAGGAGGGAGCAUAGACAAGGAAUCUGACGUUGGAAAGAAGCUACUGGAUAUCAAAGCAAAAGGAUCACAGCUCCUCUUAGAAAUCAGCGAAUGUAAGCAGACCCUUGAGCAGGAGAGCAACAUAACUGCUAGAUUCCCUGCUGCAGUACAGGAGAUGGAUAUUAAGUCCUUGGAGGAGGAAUACAAAGGUCUACAAGGUGAUGGAGCUGGAGAAGCCGAGUACUUCCAGUCUCUUGAAGAACAAAUCAUUAAAAUGAAGGGAGUUUCUGAUCCUAUUAAAUGCUGUUGCGGACUGGAGUACAAUGUAGAACUAGGCGGGGAGUCCAUGGGUGUAAGAUAA
rnacentral:rRNA from 1 species